UACGGGGGGGGCAAGCGUUGUUCGGAAUUACUGGGCGUAAAGGGCUCGUAGGCGGCCAACUAAGUCAGACGUGAAAUCCCCAGGCUCAACCUGGGAACUGCGUCUGAUACUGGAUGGCUUGAAUCCGGGAGAGGGAUGCAGAAUUCCAGGUGUAGCGGUGAAAUGCGUAGAUAUCAGAAGGAACAUCAGUGGCGAAGGCGGCUUCCUGGACCAAUACUGACGAUCAGGUGCGAAAGCGUGGGGAGCAAACAGG
rnacentral:rRNA from 1 species